ACCAAAAACAGCUAUGAAGGUUUUAUAUUUUUUCAUGCUAUCUGCUAUUUUGCCAUGUGUCCAUUCAGCUAUUGUCUUGUCCCAAACAAGUAAUGAGGUCAGAAAGCCUGGUGAGUCGUUGCGACUGACCUGCCAAGGAUCUGGACAAGACAGUGAUGGAGAUACUGUUACUGCUUACUGGAUGAGCUGGAUUCGACAGGAGCCUGGAAAAAGUCUUGAAUGGCUAGCUCACAUUAAUCCAAACAGUGGUACUAUACGCUACGCCAGCAGCAUUGAAGGACGAUUUACAAUCUCCAGAGACAAUUCUAAACAGGCUCUGUAUUUGGACAUGAACAGCCUCAAAACUGAAGACACAGCCAAAUAUUAUUGUGCUACACACACAAUGAGGAAGUUCGCGCUGUGGCUCAUACAAAAUCCUCACUAAAAACCUUUUUGUCCCACCACCCCCUCUAAAAAGUGCAAUUACAUUUUGUCGAAUGUUAAAAAAGGACAUCUUACCU